rnacentral:SRP_RNA from 1 species
GUCGAGUGGGGUAACGCCUGCUUGUAACUCAAGUGGGGACAAUAAGGUGGUGGGACUUUGGGUUGAGUCACGGAGUUGGGUUUAUGUGGCCGUUCUCUGGCCCGCCCGUUCCAAGCGUCGAGUUGAGUUAUGGGACUUGUGCGUAGGUUCAGGCCUCGUAGCUCCUAGAGGGGAAGGCAAAGCGUGAGGCUGGAUUCACAGAGCAGCGAUAACUUCCCACUCUUCGCAGUGGAAGGAUAACGGACCGGUGCCAUUUAGAUCCAAUAUGGCUACGUCACUCUUCCCUAAUCGGACUAACGCCUUU